rnacentral:rRNA from 1 species
GAGUUUGAUCCUGGCUCAGAUUGAACGCUGGCGGCAUGCCUUACACAUGCAAGUCGAACGGCAGCAUGAUCUAGCUUGCUAGAUUGAUGGCGAGUGGCGAACGGGUGAGUAAUACAUCGGAACGUGCCCUGUAGUGGGGGAUAACUAGUCGAAAGAUUAGCUAAUACCGCAUACGACCUGAGGGUGAAAGUGGGGGACCGCUUAAGGCCUCAUGCUAUAGGAGCGGCCGAUGUCUGAUUAGCUAGUUGGUGGGGUAAAGGCCCACCAAGGCGACGAUCAGUAGCUGGUCUGAGAGGACGAUCAGCCACACUGGGACUGAGACACGGCCCAGACUCCUACGGGAGGCAGCAGUGGGGAAUUUUGGACAAUGGGCGAAAGCCUGAUCCAGCAAUGCCGCGUGUGUGAAG